rnacentral:lncRNA from 1 species
UAUUAAACAAAAUUACAACAUUGUAUUCUUUUGCAUGCUAAUUUCGACAUUAAAAACAUAUGAAGAUUCUUACAUGAUUUUAGCAUCGACGGAUUUUUCUAUUACAGCAUUUCUCUUUUCUUCUAUCACAGAUUUCUCUUUUGUGCAUUACUUAUGUACUAACAUUUCAAUAACAACAUCUGGUGCUGCUACGCUCAGUGGUGGACCUGUUUGUGCGAAAUCCAUUGAUAAACUGCUCCAAUAUGGAAUUAUGAGGUUAGAAAACGGUUACAGAUUGGUGAUAUACGAAAGAAUUCUAUUUUAAAUUAAACUUGUCUAAAACGAACUACAUAUUAGAAGGGCCAUUUGAUUUGAGGUGGAUCUACAAGAAUGGAUGUUCGAGUUACGUCUAGAAAUUACUUGUCUAUAUAUUUCAGGAUGACAUGAAAAAUCAAAUCAGGUGAUAGAAUCGUUUGAAAGAUCGAGAAAUAAAGGUAUGUGCAUUUUCAAUUUUUUCUUAAUCAAUAUACGUAUGCAUGAAAGAUCUUUGAUUUUGAUGGGGCUGGUCUUCAAGUCCACAAAGAGCAUCUUCACCGGUGAAUAUAUGACGAGACAUUUUGGAGGGUGUUUGACACUCAUUUUUAUGGAAAGAUGAAUUUUAAAAUAAUGGAUUGAUAAGGAAU